GACGAACGCUGGCGGCGUGCUUAACACAUGCAAGUCGAACGGUGAAAGCGGAGCUUGCUCCGCUGGAUCAGUGGCGAACGGGUGAGUAACACGUGGGCAACCUGCCCCUCACUUCGGGAUAACUCCGGGAAACCGGGGCUAAUACCGGAUAUGACCUCCUUGGGCAUCCUUGGAGGUGGAAAGUUUUUCGGUGAGGGAUGGGCCCGCGGCCUAUCAGCUUGUUGGUAAGGUAGUGGCUAACCAAGGCGACGACGGGUAGCCGGCCUGAGAGGGCGACCGGCCACACUGGGACUGAGACACGGCCCAGACUCCUACGGGAGGCAGCAGUGGGGAAUAUUGCGCAAUGGGCGAAAGCCUGACGCAGCAACGCCGCGUGCGGGAUGACGGCCUUCGGGUUGUAAACCGCUUUCAGCAGGGAAGAAGCCGCAAGGUGACGGUACCUGCAGAAGAAGCACCGGCUAACUACGUGCCAGCCGCCGCAGUAA
rnacentral:rRNA from 1 species